AGCAGUGGGGAAUUUUGCGCAAUGGGGGAAACCCUGACGCAGCAACGCCGCGUGGAGGAUGAAGUCUCUUGGGACGUAAACUCCUUUCGAUCGGGACGAUAAUGACGGUACCGAUAGAAGAAGCCCCGGCUAACUUCGUGCCAGCAGCCGCGGUAAUACGAGGGGGGCAAGCGUUGUUCGGAAUUAUUGGGCGUAAAGGGUGCGUAGGCGGUUUGGCAAGUUUCGUGUGAAAACUUCGGGCUCAACCCGAAGCCUGCACGGAAAACUGCCGGGCUUGAGUAUGGGAGAGGUGAGUGGAAUUUCCGGUGUAGCGGUGAAAUGCGUAGAUAUCGGAAGGAACACCUGUGGCGAAAGCGGCUCACUGGACCAUAACUGACGCUGAGG
rnacentral:rRNA from 1 species